rnacentral:rRNA from 1 species
AUGUCGAUACCACCAGACGCGCCAUCUAGAGGUGGUGCUGCGUGCCUGCGUCAGAAUAUGACUGAAGAUGAUGAGGAUUACGCCCAGCCCUCGGACUCGAACAGUACUACGAUCUUGCGUGACAUCGAGUACAGAAGUAGCGAUGGAUGUAUGGAUAUCUCGAACCCUGUGUACCGGUUUGAUCUAACCUCAUACGAAUCGGUCUUCCGUGAUGGAUUUAAAGGGAGGAAUGGAGGGCUUGGCGAACGAUUGGAAGAUGUUCUAUACAUAAACAGAAACUUCAAUCCUCAGUCACAUCCACCAAGGGAUAUUCCUAUCAUGCAUCCGAUUAUGGAGUACAUUGAUCAUAACAACCAGACAAGGCCUCUAAGAAUUCAAUAUGUGCCCGAAGAGAUAGAGAGUAUGUGGCUGGGAACUACAAAUGAUGUUCCAAUCGAGUAUUAUGCAGAGGGCGUGGCUCACAUCGCUAGCUAUAUCGACUCUGCAUUUCGAUCUACAUAUUGGAAUGAAGUCUAUAUCUUCAUCAAGGAAAAGUAUGUUCUCGUGAACUACGCGCCUGGAUCAACUAUGCUGAAGCAAUCAUCUUUUCUGGGAACCUUUGCGCACGGAUAA